rnacentral:rRNA from 1 species
CUGAUAUUUAUUGAAUGGCCGCGGUAUUUUAACCGUGCAAAGGUAGCAUAAUCAUUAGUUUUUUAAUUGAGGACUUGUAUGAAUGAUUGAAUGAAAUAUAAACUGUCUCGUAAAAAUUUAAAAUAGAAUUUAAUUUUUUAGUUAAAAAGCUAAAAUAAAAUUAAAAAGACGAGAAGACCCUAUAGAUCUUUAUAUUAUAAUACAUUAUUUUUUUUUAUAUUUUUUGAAUUAAUAUAUUAUUUUAUUUUGUUGGGGUGACAUUAAAAUUUUAUUAACUUUUAAUUAUAAAUUUACAUAAAUUUAUGAAUUAUUUUGAUCUUUUAUUAAUGAUUAAAAAUUUAAGUUACCUUAGGGAUAACAGCGUAAUUAUUUUGGAGAGUUCAUAUCGAUAAAAUAGAUUGCGACCUCGAUGUUGGAUUAAGAUAAGUUUUAGGUGUAGAAGCUUAAAAAACUAAGUCUGUUCGACUUUUAAUUUCUUACAUGAUCUGAGUUCAGACCGGA